UGGGGAAUAUUGCACAAUGGGGGAAACCCUGAUGCAGCAACGCCGCGUGAGUGAUGACGGCCUUCGGGUUGUAAAGCUCUGUCUUCAGGGACGAUAAUGACGGUACCUGAGGAGGAAGCCACGGCUAACUACGUGCCAGCAGCCGCGGUAAUACGGAGGUGGCGAGCGUUGUCCGGAUUUACUGGGCGUAAAGGGAGCGUAGGCGGACUUUUAAGUGAGAUGUGAAAUACCCGGGCUCAACUUGGGUGCUGCAUUUCAAACUGGAAGUCUAGAGUGCAGGAGAGGAGAAUGGAAUUCCUAGUGUAGCGGUGAAAUGCGUAGAGAUUAGGAAGAACAACAGUGGCGAAUGCGAUUCUCUGAACUGUAGCUGACGCUGAGGCUCGAAAGCGUGGGGUGCAAACA
rnacentral:rRNA from 1 species